rnacentral:lncRNA from 1 species
CAGCACAAGGUGACCAAAAAAGAGUAAAAAAAUUUUGUUUCAACUUCUUACCGGCAGCAACAUAAUUUGCAGCAUUAUCAGUCACUACAUGAACCAUAUUUUCAGAACCAACAGAUAUAACAAUUUCUUUGAACAACUUGUAUAACAUAUCAGCUGUCUUUGAGGUACUCUGAAGCAUCCACGCUCUUCAAAAAUACGAUCCCUCCAGGACAAUAAACUAAAAAAUUAAUUAAAGUUAUCCUACACUGAUCUGUCCAUCCAUC